GUGCAAUGAUGUAUGAAUUUCUUCACCUGAGUAUUGUGAAGGGUAGAUCGAGCUUUUUAACCCUGAGUCGCA
ensembl:snoRNA Gm22879 small nucleolar RNA SNORD36